rnacentral:rRNA from 1 species
GUGUCAGCCGCCUCGGUAAUACAUAGUUGGCAAGCGUUGUCCGGAUUUAUUGGGCGUAAAGCGAGCGCAGGCGGUUUCUUAAGUCUGAUGUGAAAGCCCCCGGCUCAACCGGGGAGGGUCAUUGGAAACUGGGAGACUUGAGUGCAGAAGAGGAGAGUGGAAUUCCAUGUGUAGCGGUGAAAUGCGUAGAUAUAUGGAGGAACACCAGUGGCGAAGGCGGCUCUCUGGUCUGUAACUGACGCUGAGGAGCGAAAGCGUGGGGAGCGAACAGGAUUAGAAACCCCAGUAGUCC